GUUCGUAUGUUCACAGCGAAAAAAGGCAGAUUGAAAAUAGCAUUUAAUGAGAAAAUAUGCGGAUUCAAAUGGGCUGAAGUCUUUGAGGAACCGUUUUGUCUGAAGUACGAGCCGAUAGUAAAAUCUACCCGAGUGUUCGUGAAUCCCGUCCGUUGCAGCAGCAAAAGAAAAAGACUACUUAGAGGCUCUACACUACCAUUCUAAUAACAUUCAUUCACGUCUAUAUCUGUGGAGAUCUAUAAGGAGAUCCUGAGAAGAAAGGGCCUUGGAUUGAUGUUUGUUUUCAGCUAUAAAAAUAAUUCACUUGUGUCGACGAGUUUCUUGCUAGCAGAAAGUCGACAAGUUCACAGUUUACAACAAAAAGCGAACACAACCACACAAGCGACAAACAGAAAGCGACAAAAAACACUGCCAAGGUAAAACCAACCAAGGACUACCCGAAAGGCCAUGAUUGAUGCUGAAGGCUGGAAGGCAUGAGAAUAGGCAAAUGUCUUAAAGAUAAUAAAAUAGGGGAUUUCUAGCUUUGAUACAGCAGUAAAUGUGAAAUAGGCUUUUUGAGAGCAAAUACUUGCCCUCAAUGUUAAAUCUGAAAACAUUUUUUCUAUCAACCUAAAGAUAAUGAGGAAAGGGGAAAUGUUAGGAGAGUGCUCAACCAAGUUGUUUCAUUACUGAUGAUUUUUUUCAUAUAUGCUAUAGUCCAAUUUCUUCCUUUUCUCUCUCUCUCUCUAUUUGACAAUUUAUAUUAUUUGCUGUUUCCUCUCUGCACCCUAAAUAAAUUAAAAUAGGUAAUAGGUUUGAAAUUAGACAUUUUCAAUCAAUGUGUUCUCCUCUGUUUCUAUUAAAAAAAAAACAGCAGGCCGCCAUCCUGCAGGGUGGGUGCACCAAUGUCUAAUGCAUGACUGGAGGUAUGUUUGUGAAUUUUAAUUUCCUUGGUAAUGGAGUAUCACCAGUAAUAAGUGAUAUAUUAAUCUUCCAUAUGGCACCUGAAGUGUUUCUAACUAUAUCAUUCUAUCUUUGGAAUGCUGUUGCAUCAAUCAUUUGUUUCUUUGCAAGGGCAAAGCUGGUCAGAAUGUAGUUUUGAUACAAGUGUACAUUAAUGAAACUUCUAUCAAG